AAGCUGUGUAGGAGUGAGACAGACUGAUUGAAAUGUGCCUCAAAGAGACACUCUGCCCUCGCUGACAUGCAGAGGGUAGACUUCAUCACAUUACUUGAUGAGCAGUGAAUGUUCAUGUGGUCGUAAGGAAAGUGAGAGACAUGCAGAGGAACAUACAAAAAAGAAGAGUGAGGAUACCAAUAAUGGAUGCACGGCAGCACAGAAGAAGAGGAGGAGAAUUGGAGAUGAUGGGUGGAGGCAAUAUUUACUGGUAUUUGGUGGUGAAGAGGACAUGAAAACAGCGUACACAAACGUAAGCUAACCCUCCUGACCUUUCUCCCUAGUGACAGUUGUGUUCCUUCAGGACUCAUGACGGACUAUUUGUGCAUGUGUGUGUGUGUGUU